rnacentral:lncRNA from 1 species
CACGGCCCGCAUCGACGCCUGCACCCGCAACAGCUGCAGCGGGAGGCUGUGCCCCUUCCCUCUGCUUUCCCGGCCGCUCUUGGACGAGUGUCCGGCUUCCUCUGGCAGCAUCCCUUCCGCCGUCCCCUCGCCCCCGGGUUGGCCUGGAUGCGCACACCUGACUGUCCCGCUCCCCUUCUCGCCCACCUCCUUUACGUAACCUCGCCAUUCCUGUCCCGCUCUCAGGCUCCUGGGGCUCGUCCCUUUCCCCAGAUAAUUGCAACACCUCCCGCCGCCUCCCCAAGUGGCGGGCAGGCAGUUCUGUUAUUGCAAAAUACCAGCUAUGACCAGCUCCUUCCUGUGGAGCCCAGCCUGCAGGAGUGCCCUGGUUUGUGCCAAGGAAAUGCUCCUGUCCCACAGUUACAGAACACCUGCCGGCUGGGGACCUGGGCUGAUGCUGGACAGGCAGCCCUUGGUAAAUAAAAAGAAAAAAAGAAAAAAAGGAAAAAAAAAAAGGAAAAAAAGUGAUUUCCCACCUCCUCCAUGGUGAAAAGGAGCCUCAGUUUUAAGGUUAUGACUUAGAUUUCAUGUGUUUCUCUCUCAACCCCUUUUUUGGGGCUCUUUUUUUGGGUGGUGGAGAUGGGAACAAAAAGAGCCAUUUAAUUUUUGAAUGCUAGAAGCGUCUGCUUAAAAACUAGUUCACUGUUCUUUGUCCUUGUAUAACUUAAACCCACCUGUUUUCAAGUUUGGGCUUGAUACAUAUUUCUGCUCCAUUCCUGUAAGCACUUCAGCACAUGUUACACAUAUGCUUACAUCUGCGGAGUCCAGGGCCAGAAUCUUCAAUGUCACCCUAAAUGUUUAGUGCUGUACCACAUUUACAAACCUGGCUGAGUAAUAGACUAAUAAUGACUCAAAAUAACAUGACACAUAAACAGUAUAUUAUUUCCAUCACAGCAAAAACAGUGGUUUUCCAGAUACUCUCUUUCUAUGUAAAUGUGCAUGUAGCAGAGGUCCAGGUACUCAGUAUGAAGUACAUUUGUGUUUUUAAUUAUUAAAUUUGAACAACUAAAUGUUCAUACUUCUCAAUUAACCUAACAUUUUACACAUAAAAAGGCCACAAAACAUAUUUAUUAUUUAUGUAAGCUUUAAAAUAGCAUGCACUGUCCUGUGUGCUGCGAGUACUAAGCUGGUAGCAUUACCUCAAGCAUCUUCAAACUUUCCUCUGCACUAGGGAAGAGUUACACACCUGCAGGGAGGUUUGCAAGGACACAAGAUUGCACACAGAUUAUUUCUCUCCCUGAAAAUGUGAGUGAUUACACUGGGCUUCCCUGAAUCUGCUGUGACCACAAAUGACAGUGACUGCAUGCUAUGAAGUGCUUUUGUCAGUGGCAGACGUUUAACUGGAAAUGAGAAAAGAAAAAAUAGAAAAAAACCUUGCAGGAACCACUGAGAAAAUCAUAAAUGCAGAAUGUCAACAGUGAUA